GGGCAGCAUGGUCUUAGCUUGCUAAGGCCGAUGGCGACCGGCGCACGGGUGAGUAACACGUAUCCAACCUGCCGUCUACUCUUGGACAGCCUUCUGAAAGGAAGAUUAAUACAAGAUGGCAUCAUGAGUUCACAUGUUCACAUGAUUAAAGGUAUUCCGGUAGACGAUGGGGAUGCGUUCCAUUAGAUAGUAGGCGGGGUAACGGCCCACCUAGUCUUCGAUGGAUAGGGGUUCUGAGAGGAAGGUCCCCCACAUUGGAACUGAGACACGGUCCAAACUCCUACGGGAGGCAGCAGUGAGGAAUAUUGGUCGAUGGGCGAGAGCCUGAACCAGCCAAGUAGCGUGAAGGAUGACUGCCCUAUGGGUUGUAAACUUCUUUUAUAAAGGAAUAGAGUCGGGUAUGGAUACCCGUUUGCAUGUACUUUAUGAAUAAGGAUCGGCUAACUCCGUGCCAGCAGCCGCGGUAAUACGGAGGAUCCGAGCGUUAUCCGGAUUUAUUGGGUUUAAAGGGAGCGUAGAUGGAUGUUUAAGUCAGUUGUGAAAGUUUGCGGCUCAACCGUAAAAUUGCAGUUGAUACUGGAUAUCUUGAGUGCAGUUGAGGCAGGCGGAAUUCGUGGUGUAGCGGUGAAAUGCUUAGAUACCACGAAGAACUCCGAUUGCGAAGGCAGCCUGCUAAGCUGCAACUGACAUUGAGGCUCGAAAGUGUGGGUAUCA
rnacentral:rRNA from 1 species